UACGUAAAUGGCAAACGUUGUCCGGAUUUAUUGGGUUUAAAGGGUGCGUAGGCGGUCUUAUAAGUCAGUGCUGAAAUAUCCCAACUUAACCGGGAGGGUGGCAUUGAUACUGUAGGACUUGAGUAAAGUUGAGGUAGGCGGAAUUGACGGUGUAGCGGUGAAAUGCUUAGAUAUCGUCAAGAACACCGAUAGUGAAGACAGCUUACUAAACUUUAACUGACGCUGAGGCACGAAAGUGUGGGGAUCAAAC
rnacentral:rRNA from 1 species